UCUGGGUGCAGUGGUGCGCACCUGUAGUCCCAGCUACUUAGGAGGCUGAGGCAGGAGGAUCACUUGAGCCCAGGAGGUUGAGGUUGCAGUGAGCUAUGAUGGCACCUCUGCACUCCAACCUGGGCAACAGAGUGAGACUCUGUCUCAA
ensembl:misc_RNA Metazoa_SRP Metazoan signal recognition particle RNA